CAUAGGUUAAUGAGGCGAACCGGGGGAACUGAAACAUCUAAGUACCCCGAGGAAAAGAAAUCAACCGAGAUUCCCCCAGUAGCGGCGAGCGAACGGGGAGCAGCCCAGAGCCUGAAUCAGUGUGUGUGUUAGUGGAAGCGUCUGGAAAGGCGCGCGAUACAGGGUGACAGCCCCGUACACAAAAAUGCACAUGCUGUGAGCUCGAUGAGUAGGGCGGGACACGUGGUAUCCUGUCUGAAUAUGGGGGGACCAUCCUCCAAGGCUAAAUACUCCUGACUGACCGAUAGUGAACCAGUACCGUGAGGGAAAGGCGAAAAGAACCCCGGCGAGGGGAGUGAAAAAGAACCUGAAACCGUGUACGUACAAGCAGUGGGAGCACGCUUAGGCGUGUGACUGCGUACCUUUUGUAUAAUGGGUCAGCGACUUAUAUUCUGUAGCAAGGUUAACCGAAUAGGGGAGCCGAAGGGAAACCGAGUCUUAACUGGGCGUUAAGUUGCAGGGUAUAGACCCGAAACCCGGUGAUCUAGCCAUGGGCAGGUUGAAGGUUGGGUAACACUAACUGGAGGACCGAACCGACUAAUGUUGAAAAAUUAGCGGAUGACUUGUGGCUGGGGGUGAAAGGCCAAUCAAACCGGGAGAUAGCUGGUUCUCCCCGAAAGCUAUUUAGGUAGCGCCUCGUGAAUUCAUCUCCGGGGGUAGAGCACUGUUUCGGCAAGGGGGUCAUCCCGACUUACCAACCCGAUGCAAACUACGAAUACCGGAGAAUGUUAUCACGGGAGA
rnacentral:rRNA from 1 species